UGGGGAAUAUUGGACAAUGGGCGCAAGCCUGAUCCAGCCAUGCCGCGUGGAUGAUGAAGGCCUUAGGGUUGUAAAAUCCUUUCGUUGGGGACGAUAAUGACGGUACCCAAAGAAGAAGCUCCGGCUAACUUCGUGCCAGCAGCCGCGGUAAUACGAAGGGGGCUAGCGUUGUUCGGAUUUACUGGGCGUAAAGCGCGUGUAGGCGGGUCGUUAAGUUGGGGGUGAAAUCCCGAGGCUCAACCUCGGAACUGCCUUCAAAACUGGCGACCUGGACCUAAGUAGAGGCAAGUGGAAUUGCGAGUGUAGAGGUGAAAUUCGUAGAUAUUCGCAGGAACACCAGUGGCGAAGGCGACUUGCUGGACUUAUGGUGACGCUGAGACGCGAAAGCGUGGGGAGCAAACAGG
rnacentral:rRNA from 1 species